CCAACGGCCCUCUUUAGGGCCAAUAAUUAAACAUACUAUUUAUUU
rfam:Parastrongyloides trichosuri strain KNP genome assembly, scaffold: PTRK_scaffold0000044